AUUGAACGCUGGCGGCAGGCCUAACACAUGCAAGUCGAACGAGUGGCGGACGGGUGAGUAAUGUCUGGGAAACUGCCUGAUGGAGGGGGAUAACUACUGGAAACGGUAGCUAAUACCGCAUACCAUCAGAUGUGCCCAUAUGGGAUUAGCUAGUUGGUGGGGUAACGGCUCACCAAGGCGACGAUCCCUAGCUGGUCUGAGCGGAUGACCAGCCAAACUGGAACGGAGAAACGGCCCAGACUCCUACGGGAGGCAGCAGUGGUGAAUAUUGCACAAUGGGCGCAAGCCUGAUGCAGCCAUGCCGCGGGUAUGAAGAAGGCCUUAGGGUUGUAAAGUACGUUCAGCGGGGAGGCGUUACCCGCAGAAGAAGCACCGGCUAACUCCGUGCCAGCAGCCGCGGGAAUUC
rnacentral:rRNA from 1 species